GGCCCCUUAGCUCAAUUGGCAGAGCAAUUGACUCUUAAUCAAUAGGUUGAAGGUUCGAUUCCUUCAGGGGUCA
rnacentral:tRNA from 1 species